rnacentral:rRNA from 1 species
UACGUAGGGUGCGAGCGUUGUCCGGAAUUACUGGGCGUAAAGAGCUCGUAGGUGGUUUGUCGCGUUGUUCGUGAAAUCUCACGGCUUAACUGUGAGCGUGCGGGCGAUACGGGCAGACUUGAGUACUGCAGGGGAGACUGGAAUUCCUGGUGUAGCGGUGGAAUGCGCAGAUAUCAGGGGGAACACCGGUGGCGAAGGCGGGUCUCUGGGCAGUAACUGACGCUGAGGAGCGAAAGCGUGGGGAGCGAACAGG